CAUAAUUCAUUCACUAUACUUACUGUUUCAGGACUACUCCAGGAAUAUUUAUGUAGCAGCGUUUAUCCUCCCGGUUGUGUAGUGUUGUGUAACGCGUGCCCCAGUACCUAACCGGUUCACUAAUUUGCUGCUGUUCGACCACACACUGCUGCACUGGUUCCAGAAAGGCCAAAGUUCAGAAAGCGCUGUGACCGUGGGUUCGCGAUGGCGGGAUCGUCUUCGGAGUGGCCCACAUCUAUCUGCACAUCUGCAUUGCUUGUUCCUCAUUGUAUCGGCUCUGAAACGCACUUUGGGGCAUUUCGACUUUGUAUGCUUCAAAAAUCAUUAAUCACGUUUUGGCAAUACAAAAAAGGCGUCACGCUCGAACUAACAUACAUGAAUACAUCUUAUUAGAAUACCAUGCCCAUGCCUCACCCUAUAUAAAUAUACCUUGCGCAAGUCUCAUUG
rnacentral:sRNA from 1 species